GACAGAGGUGGCAAGCGUUGUUCGGAAUUACUGGGCGUAAAGGGCGCGCAGGCGGCCGAGUACGUCAGACGUGAAAUCCCCAGGCUUAACUUGGGAACUGCGUCUGAUACUGGGAGGCUUGAGUGCGGGAGAGGGAUGUGGAAUUCCAGGUGUAGCGGUGAAAUGCGUAGAUAUCUGGAGGAACACCGGUGGCGAAGGCGGCAUCCUGGACCGGCACUGACGCUGAGGCGCGAAAGCUAGGGGAGCAAACGGG
rnacentral:rRNA from 1 species